rnacentral:tRNA from 1 species
GAGGGUAUAGCUCAGUGGUAGAGCGCAUGCUUAGCAUGCACAAGGUCCUGGGUUCAAUCCCCAGUGCCUCCA